rnacentral:misc_RNA from 1 species
AACGCAUAUUGCGCCCUUUGGUAUUCCGAAGGGCAUGCCUGUUCGAGCGUCAUUAUCACAAUAUCAAGCUUGGCUUGCUGUUGGGCCCUUUGUCACUUGGUGACAGGUCCGAAAGACAAUGCCCGGUGUUAUACACUCCAUAUGCAAUGAGCUUCUAACAGCACGCAUCUGGUGGUUGUGUGACCCGUGGGCAGCCCCCUGGCACCCUCUCUUUCUCAAGGUUGACCUCGGAUCAGGUAGGAAUACCCGCUGAACUUAA